rnacentral:rRNA from 1 species
GAUGAACGCUGGCGGCGUGCCUAAUACAUGCAAGUCGAGCGAACAGACGAGGAGCUUGCUCCUCUGACGUUAGCGGCGGACGGGUGAGUAACACGUGGAUAACCUACCUAUAAGACUGGGAUAACUUCGGGAAACCGGAGCUAAUACCGGAUAAUAUAUUGAACCGCAUGGUUCAAUAGUGAAAGACGGUUUUGCUGCCACUUAUAGUUGGAUCCGCGCCGCAUUAGCUAGUUGGUAAGGUAACGGCUUACCAAGGCAACGAUGCGUAGCCGACCUGAGAGGGUGAUCGGCCACACUGGAACUGAGACACGGUCCAGACUCCUACGGGAGGCAGCAGUAGGGAAUCUUCCGCAAUGGGCGAAAGCCUGACGGAGCAACGCCGCGUGAGUGAUGAAGGUCUUCGGAUCGUAAAACUCUGUUAUUAGGGAAGAACAAAUGUGUAAGUAACUAUGCACGUCUUGACGGUACCUAAUCAGAAAGCCACGGCUAACUACGUG